rnacentral:rRNA from 1 species
UACGGAGGGUGCUAGCGUUGUUCGGAAUCACUGGGCGUAAAGGGCGUGUAGGCGGCCUGCUAAGUCUGAUGUGAAAUCCCCUCGCUCAACGAGGGAACUGCGUCGGAUACUGGCAGGCUCGAGUACCGGAGAGGAAGGUGGAAUUCCCGGUGUAGCGGUGAAAUGCGUAGAUAUCGGGAGGAACAUCGGUGGCGAAGGCGGCCUUCUGGACGGAUACUGACGCUGAGACGCGAAAGCGUGGGGAGCAAACGCG